GACGGCUGGGCGCCUGGGUUGAGGAGAAGGGCCCGCAGUCUUAUUGGUCUCUGCAGACAGAAGCGAGGGGGAAGAACUCAUCACGAGUUACAAGGGCGGAAAACAGCCGCCCCAGGUCUCCCCACAGCUCCCCGGACGCCCCGCGCUAGGCCUCGGGCCCCAACGCCUGGGAAUGGUCGGCGGUGCUUGGGCCCCGCCCGGGGGCGAGGGGCAGCGGCCCGGCCCCAGGCCUCAUCUCCGCACCGGGAGCUCGGGCUCACACUGUAGAAUGAAGUGCCCUGUAGAAUAUUCGAUCCCCACGGCCAGCUAGGGACCCCGCCACAGUGGAGCGCCUCGCCACCUCCAUCCGCCCUCCUGUGGUCCGGGACUAGGUGCAGUUACAGGACCCGCCUAAGAAGAGCACUAGAAGGACGCAGUGGGUGGAUGUCCGAGUUCGAGCGGCUGGAUGUCGCGCGGUGGCAACAAGUAGCUCGGAAAAGGGGUAUUGAGAGUCCACUGCGAGCUGCUUCCUGCUUGCGGCCAAUGGGGACGUGCGGCAGAGCAGUUAGAAACAAGAAGGGAGAAGACUAAAGAGAGACUCCUUACUUCUGGCAACGAGAUACACAAAAGGGGUUGCGAACAUCCAAAAGGGUCUUGCUCCAGGUGAGGCUCGAACUCACAACCUCGGCAUUGCUCUGCAUGUACUGCUGUAUAAGUACCGCGCGCUAACCGAUUGCGCCACUGGAGCUCUGCUGAAUGGGCCUCGUG
rnacentral:tRNA from 1 species